GAUGAACGCUGGCGGCGUGCCUAAUACAUGCAAGUCGAGCGAACGGACGAGAAGCUUGCUUCUCUGAUGUUAGCGGCGGACGGGUGAGUAACACGUGGAUAACCUACCUAUAAGACUGGGAUAACUUCGGGAAACCGGAGCUAAUACCGGAUAAUAUUUUGAACCGCAUGGUUCAAAAGUGAAAGACGGUCUUGCUGUCACUUAUAGAUGGAUCCGCGCUGCAUUAGAUAGUUGGUAAGGUAACGGCUUACCAAGGCAACGAUGCAUAGCCGAACUGAGAGGGUGAUCGGCGACACUGGAACUGAGCCACGGUCCAGACUCCUACGGGAGGCAGCAGUAGGGAAUCUUCCGCAAUGGGCGAAAGCCUGACGGAGCAACGCCGCGUGAGUGAUGAAGGUCUUCGGAUCGUAAAACUCUGUUAUUAGGGAAGAACAUAUGUGUAAGUAACUGUGCACAUCUUGACGGUACCUAAUCAGAAAGCCACGGCUAACUACGUG
rnacentral:rRNA from 1 species